AUGGAGCUAAGCACAGCCACUCUCAUGUCUAUCUCUGUCGCCUCACUGGCGAUUCUUGUGUCGUUGCUUCGCCGCAAAUCGGCACCAAGCUCCAAGAGGAGGCGGCCUCCUGGUCCACGGUGUCUCCCCUUCAUCGGAAGCCUCCUCCACCUCCUUACCUCGGAGCCGCAGGUCGCUCUCCGGGACCUGGCGAAGAAGCACGGGCCGGUGAUGUACCUGCGGCUGGGCCACGUCGACACCGUCGUGAUCUCCUCCCCGGCGGCGGCACAGGAGGUGCUCCGGGACAACAGCCUCACGUUCGCGUCGCGGCCGAGCCUUCUGGUCACGGAGAUCCUAUGCUACGGGAACACUGACAUCGCCUUUGCGCCAUACGGCGCGUACUGGAGGACACUGCGAAAGAUCUGCAUGGUGGAGCUCCUGAGCGCGCGGAAGGUAAGGCAGUUCGCACCCAUCAGGGAUACUGAAAUCCUAUCCCUCGUUAGGAAUGUCCGCGCUGCCGCCAGAGGCGGCGAGCCAGUAAAUCUCGGCGGACUGCUCGUGUCUUGCUCGAACACGAUCAGCGCAAAGGCGACGUUCGGUGAGGGAUGCGACGCCGACCUCCAGGAGCAGUUCUUGUCUGCGAUCGGCGUGGCACUGGAGUACAGCGGGGGGUUCGGCGUCGGAGACCUCUUCCCGUCGCUGUGGUUCGUGGAUGUCGUCACUGGGGUGAGACGCCGGCUCUGGCGAGCGCACAGGGUCCUCGACGCCGUCUUUGAGAAGAUCAUCACUAGGUGCCAGGCGCGGCGGGAGGAGAAGAAGUCAACGGCGAUGACCUUCUGA
rnacentral:rRNA from 1 species